AUUGAACGCUGGCGGCAGGCCUAACACAUGCAAGUCGAACGAGUGGCGGACGGGUGAUUAAUGUCUGGGACACUGCCUGAUGGUGGGGGAUGACUACUGGAGACGGUAGCUAAUACCCCAUAGCAUCGGAUGUGCCCAGAUGGGAUUGGCUAGUAGGUGGGGUAAAGGCUCACCUAGGCGACGAUCCCUACCUGGUCUGUGAGGAGGACCAGCGACACUGGAACGGAGACCAGCUCCAGAGGCCGAAGGUAGGGAGCAGGGGGGAAUAUGGCACAAUGGUCGCGAGCCGGAUGCAGCCAGGCCGGGUGUAUGAAGCAGGCCUUCGGGUUGUAAAGUACUGUCAGCGGGGAGGCGUUACUCGCAGAAGAAGCACCGGCUAACUCCGUGCCAGUAGCCGCGGUAAUUC
rnacentral:rRNA from 1 species